GACGUAGGGGGCGAGCGUUGUCCGGAAUUACUGGGCGUAAAGAGCACGUAGGCGGGACUUUAAGUCAGGUGUGAAAGACCGGGGCUCAACUCCGGGGUUGCACUUGAAACUGGAGUUCUUGAGGGCAGGAGAGGAAAGCAGAAUUCCUGGUGUAGCGGUGAAAUGCGUAGAAAUCAGGAGGAAUACCAGUGGCGAAGGCGGCUUUCUGGACUGACCCUGACGCUGAGGUGCGAAAGCGUGGGUAGCAAAC
rnacentral:rRNA from 1 species